CUGCCAAGAAAAUCCUCUAGUGACACAAAGAGUGCCCGUACCGUAAACCGACACAGGUGGGUUAGUAGAGAAUACUAAGACGCGCGAGAUAACCCUCGCUAAGGAACUCGGCAAAAUAACUCUGUAACUUCGGGAGAAGGAGUGCCACAUUAGUGUGUAGCGAUUUACUCGUGAAGCAUGAAGUGGUCGCAGCGGAGAGGCCCAAGCGACUGUUUAACAAAAACACAGGUCUCUGCUAAGACGCAAGUCGAAGUAUAGGGGCUGACGCCUGCCCAGUGCCGGAAGGUUAAGGAAGGAGGUUAGGAGUAAUCCGAAGCUUUGACCGAAGCCCCGGUGAACGGCGGCCGUAACAAUAACGGUCCUAAGGUAGCGAAAUUCCUUGUCAGGUAAGUUCUGACCCGCACGAAAGGCGUAACGACUUGGGCGCUGUCUCGGCGAGGGACUCGGUGAAAUUGGAAUGGCUGUGAAGAUACGGCCUACUCAUACCAGGACAGAAAGACCCCAUGGAGCUUUACUGUAGCUUGCCAUUGAAUUUGGGUUGCUAUGUGCAGGAUAGGUGGGAGACUGCGAGGCAUCUUCGUCAGGAGGUGUGGAGUCGUCGGUGAGAUACCACUCUUAAGUAAUCUAAGUUCUAACUUUGCGCCGUAAUCCGGGCAGAGGACAGUGGCUGGUAGGCAGUUUGACUGGGGCGGUCGCCUCCUAAAGAGUAACGGAGGCGUCCAAAGGUUCCCUCAGACUGGUUGGAAAUCAGUCGCAGAGUGCAAAGGCAUAAGGGAGCUUGACUGUGAGACUGACAGGUCGAACAGGGAGGAAACUCGGGCUUAGUGAUCCGACGCCAGCGCGUGGAAGUGGCGUCGCUCAACGGAUAAAAGUUACCCUGGGGAUAACAGGCUGAUCUCCCCCAAGAGUCCACAUCGACGGGGAGGUUUGGCACCUCGAUGUCGGCUCGUCGCAACCUGGGGCGGUAGUACGUCCCAAGGGUCGGGCUGUUCGCCCGUUAAAGCGGUACGUGAGCUGGGUUCAGAACGUCGUGAGACAGUUCGGUCCAUAUCCGGUAUGAGCGCAGGAAAUUUGAGAGGAGCCGUCCUUAGUACGAGAGGACCGGGACGGACCAGCCUCCAGUGUACCAGUGGUUCCGCCAAGGGGCCAACGCUGGGUAGCUGUGCUGGGAGCGGAUAAGCGCUGAAAGCAUCUAAGUGCGAAGCCCACCUUAAGAUAAGAUUUCCCAUCUCUAUAUGAGAGUAAGACCCCCGGAAGAUAAUCGGGUAGAUAGGCUGCAAGUGGAAGCGUAGCAAUAUGUGUAGCUGAGCAGUACUAAUCGGUCGAGGGUUUAAUC
rnacentral:rRNA from 1 species